GCCAGCAAGCGGGACAGUCCCCAGACAGAAAUGUUUCUCUCUCCGUGAAAGGCGGAUCCCAUUAAGAGAGGGUCAUCUGGGACUCAUGGGUGGGAUUCUUGCUGCCCUUCCCGCCUGACGCCCCUCAAAACACAAACAGAGGGACACAGGUUAAAAGCAGAGCAAACACGGGAUGGAGUCCAAGUGUCUAGCUGGAAACAUCUGGAAACAAGACAGGAGCCCUACAGAGACGCGAACACCCAGAAGAGCAAGCCGCCUUGCAGAGAGUGAAAGAGCCAGAGGCCUCCGAGGUGGAGGGGCCGGCAGGGUAUAGGAGGGGAGAUGUCCUGUCCGUGACUGAAACUGUCGUCUGGGGCACGGGAAAGGGUCAUGGCUGUAGAGGUCAUCUACAAGGAGGUGUUAAUGAAGCCAUGAGAAUGGACGAGCUCAGAGAAAGGCAAAUGACAGGAAUCAGUGGAACGCAAAGGAAGCAGUAACCUGGGGACACACAAGAGCAGCCACCCAUGAACUCAGCCCAGCCUCCUCUCCUGUAAUAUUACGAACUGUGUCAUUGAGCCCACAGGGUUGUAAAACUGUCAGGUCCACCUGGUUGAACGAAGUCUACGAUGCCCACGCCAUUCCUCAGUGCUCUUCGGAAUCGUUCUGGGUGGCGCAUUAUUAAGGGGGAAGAAAAAGAUGCCAGCAGUAGCUAACACGAUCAGUGGAGGAGUGCCCUGUAUAUGGACCUAUCACCCAAGACAGCAAUGAGUCAAGCCAAGGGAAACUGAGAGCAGCUCCCCACACCAGCUCAGAAGACCCUCCCCCAUCCAGCACCUCCUCAAGGUGCUCCUAGCUUCAUCACAGAAAGGUAGCAGUCACUCCCCGAGAAGACAGGAGCAGCAAAUAACCACCUGACAAUUUGAGUGUCCUCCAGUGUUUCACAGGCACCAUCAGGAACUCCAGGCAAGCAUGCGUACCAUUCUCUAGACGGCUCCCUUCACUUCCCAAGAAAGGGAACCAGGUCUUCCUAAUUGAUUUAGGUGCCUGGGAUAACAAAGUAUUUCACCAGAAGGGACAUAAGCAAUGCUAUUUGAUAAGAGUAAGAAUAAGGAAGAAGCAGCUAUCUUAAAGAAAAAGUGUGCUCUACUCACACUAAAGUAUCAGACCAAUGCACAACAUACUGCAAAACUGGAAUACAAUACGGUCAAACACAAUGUUCAAAUAUUAAACUGUUCAAGCACAUGAAGAUCAUCUUCUGAAAGACAAGCUGGGCUCUUAGUUUGUAGCUACCUUUGUGUAACUUUAAAAAUUGCUGUCCCUCAACAAAGUCUGACACUGAUCUUGAUACUUGUUGGGAAGUUCACUGAGGCAAUGACAGCUCAUAGAGAUAUAUAGUCAGCUUUAGAGAGAUAUCCUCCCAGUGCUCAUCUUCAGAAUUCAUCCGAGGACUGGGCAUCAUCUUCGUCCCUCACUUCUCGGUAUCUCCCUGAAGACUCCCCUUCUGGAUUGUAGCUCUGCAUUUUAAUAUUCAGUCUCUCGGCCAGUUUCUGUGCUGCGAGCUUUGCCUGCAUCUCCUUCAAAACAAAGAACAAAGCCCAAGUUACACCGUACAGCUCCCCUUACAAUAUUCACUAAGACCCGGGAUAAACGAGCAUAAUUCCUACUGUCUCUGGCAACACAGAAAAUUGACAGCUGUGUCCUGUUAGACACGGGGCGAUGUAUCUGAGAGCUGUCCGCUUGCUGCAGUUGCUAGUGACUUCCAUUAGCAAGCAAUGCUGCAAUCGAACAGCUUACCUCUGCACAAGAAACUGGGAAAUCAGCUGAGCACUACGGUAGCUAUAAACAGACACACUAAGUGUUGUAUACACACAGAACCACCUGUCUGUAUUAGAAAUCACCAAUGUGCUGCCAAUGUCUCCAACAGACAAGACUUCCUUCUCUAGACUAAAUCAUAUUUUCUAAGUUUGAGGAGUACACUUCAAUGGUACAAAAAGAGCCAAGACAUUAAUGCUGCAUGCUGACUGCUCCUCAGUAAGUAAAGUCUCAGAAAUUAAUACUCAAAAAGGUCCAAGUAAAUUUCAGAGUGGCAGUGGACUUUUCCACACAUAAAGAUCACCCAACUGCUGGUAGACUUCAGGGUUCAUCUCUGAUUCACCCAACCCCAACCCCCAUACAUUCCUCAACUUCAGCAGCUCCUUACCUCAGCCCAUGAACAUUAUGGGUAGGCAUAAUUGGUAGUUACUAUUACUAUUCUGUCAAGGCAACCCAUUUCAGAGGGCUUAGCCUAAAAAUGUCUCAAGACAGGUAUUUAAAAACCCCCUAGAGACAAUUCAAAGGUCACUUCUCCAGCACAGCAGUUGGAUCUGAUGCUAAUUCUAAUGAACUACGAGGAAGAAACACAAAGGGCCAUAAAGAUACCAGUCCAUGCCAGCUGAACGCUUAGGAAAAGCCAAGCAGAGUUAAAGCUAGUUUGACUUUAGCAGAUGCAGGCACCUGACUAAAAUCCAACUAAGCAAUUCAGGAGAGAGGGGAUGUCCUUUUCCCAGAAACUCAUAAUGUUACAAUCUAACCAUAACUAAUCUCCAUGCUUACUUCUCCCAUCCUGCUAAUAUGAACACAAACUUUAACAAUAUUAUACAUUUUAUUUAUAGACAAGGUCUCACCGUCUAUUAGCUGUGCAGACCAGGCUAGCCUCAAACUCAGAGAUCUGACUGCCUUUACCUCUCAACUGCUGGAAUUAAAGUGGUAUGAUUAAAGGUGUGUGCCACCAAUACCUUAAUAUCCAUUUUUAAAAAUUCUAUGCAAAACACAGUGCUAUAUACAACUGAUUUAGACCCAAAGUAGAAAGGCCUCUAUUCACAAGGGUCAUGAGUAAUGGCUUCAAGCACCCCACCAGAGGCUGGCAAGCCAGCAUGAUCUCCUGUCCUUCUGGGCUGGCCCCUGCACUGCAGGAGAUGGAACUGGGAAGCGUCCUCCUAAGCAGGUCCCUUACACUGAGAAGCUGCCACAUGGGAGAGAGACAUACAUAUGUUGUCCUAGCAGCAGCAGACAGCUGAUCCAUGUCACUCCAAUCCUCGCCCUGAUCUAUUGGGGAAUUAUUACUGAGGUCCCUACAGUUCUAGCAACUUUGUGACUGGAAACUGGUGCACAUCUCUAAAACUUGACUCUUCUAGUCAGCCAAAGUUAAUUCUGACUCCCGAAGCAGCAGC